GAGGUGAGUUAAUGGAUACUAAUGAAACCACAGUUUUUACUCUAGCAAUUGAGAAGAUAUUAAACACAUGGGGCGUCGGAGAUGUUGACAUUGGUUUCCUCAAACACAACACAGACUGGACAGAUGUCCUUGCUCUGAAACUGCUUUUAACUGUCCAGGAAUUGAACUAUCUCUGGAUAACAGGUGAAAAGAAAGGAGAUGAAAUAUGGCAUGCAACAACAGUCAUGUCAGUCAUAAAAGACAUGUCUGAAAACCUCCAUAACUGUUGGAUGGAAAGCACUGAUUUAGAGCUAAACCGGAGUAAUAUAAAAGAUUUAAUCUCCUCUACUUCCACAACUUCCAGUGGAUCCACAGAGUUGAUGCUGGCCUUGGAGAACACGCUGAGAUGUUUUCACGCCAGAGCCGGAUGGGCUCUGAAACUGAAAUCCAGAGACAUCUCGUCCAGCAUCAGUCUGAAGAUCUGCCUGCUCACCAUCGCCUGUCUCAUUUACCCCAUAGUGCUGCUCUCCUUCAAACAAAUGACAGAAUGGAUCCAGGACUACGCUCAGAGCCUCAGGGAGAAGACAGAAGACCUGAAGAGAGAACGACGUCUUGCAGAAGAUCUCCUUCAUCAGAUGCUGCCCAAAUCUGUGGCCAAGCAGCUACGCCAACACAAACACGUAGAGGCUGAGAGUUAUGAGAAGGUACAUGGUUAUAAGCUUUCUGUUUCUGCAUAUAGUUUUCUAUAUGAUAUCCUAAAACAGAAGAAAUGUUGUUGUCUUCCAGCAUUCCAUUUUAACAAAUCAAACUCAAGUCUGAAAAGACAAGCAUAUUCAUUAAGGAUGUUGGCAAGAUGGCAGUGUCAGGAAAGCGCACAUGCUGCCAUUCUGUUUGUUCUUUUUGUUGUAGUAAUUGCCUGUAAUUAUGGUAUUCCAUAUUCAUCAGGAGAUAAAACAGCUCAUGAGGGAGUGGGGUAAAUGACACAUGUCUGUAAGAGCAAUCUGUGCACCUGAAGCCUGCCC
ensembl:lncRNA